UGUGUGGACCCAGCACGGCUAAAACACAAGUGUCUUAAACAUUUGCUUUGGUUCGUACGAGUGAGCGUUUCCCCAACUGUCCAACUUAAAUCGCACUGGAUUCUAAGCUGGUGGGUCUGGACCAUUGGAGUUUUCCUGCUUCGGUACGGACACCCUCUGUCACGUGGUUUUACGGGGGCAGAUAAGCACCGAUCGCUGGCGGGACCUCGGAACUCCUGAAUCGCCUUCAGGGGUACCAACAGUGAGCGGAGGCGGCAUCAGGGACACAGAGCUGGACUCGGGGGGUUAGUCCCGGGGCAGCCGAACUCCCCACCGUUGGAGCAAGCGUGGCGUCCUUGUCCCUACGCACGUCGUCUUCCAGCGGAGACUCAGGAGGACGGGGCUGCCGAAGCUUCUUCCGGCGGGGGCAGAGACCCCAGGCCGACCACGACUCCCGGGGCAAAGAGGCUUCUAGUAAAGACACGGAGGAUGGAAAACGUUAAUGAUGAAUCUUCAGAUUCUCGACGUGGCUAAUCCUUCACGCUUCAGCAUCACAACCCCGACGUCCUGAGGAUUCUAGAAUUCAGGCGGGGCAGGGACGAUGCCACAGCUCAGCCGCGUUCGGCUUCGUUUCCUGGGCCUGUGACGCUGUCCCGGUUUCUCCUGUGGCAAAGUGUCACUGGCUACGGCCGGUGCACAGCGGACACAGAAGAGAACGUAGGAGCCGUCCCUGCCGCAGUCACCAGGAAGCCCUGUGCUCCGGACGACACAGCCACAGGAGGCAGGGAGCCCGGGCGGGGCACUCCCGGGGGCCUUCCCAGGUGGGCGGCGGGUGUCGCCGACAGGAAACGACCUUUGUGUGUGCAGCGUGAAGCUGCGAUGCGCUGGGGAGGCUGGCCUUACGCUUCAGCUGACAACCAGCUCCGGCUUUCUGACGGGACCAAACCCACGUGCUCCUUCACCCACACGCGCACUCAGUGCCACGGGGUCACCAAGUAACCAGGUGUCCUAACACCCGCCCAGCAGGGUGACGACGCCUCCCUGAGGGCCCCGCGACACGGUGCCGGCACAUUCAGGGACCGGCGGAAACGUUUUCGUUUCAGUGUCCUUGAAAACCAGGAGUAAAGAGAAUACGGGAAGAACGACUCCAACCUGGACCGUAGCCCUCUUUACACCCACGCAGAUAUACGUAAAACGUGACACUUGAUAUUUUCACGGGGCCCAGGAAAGUCACAACGCAGCCCGGAUGCUGGGUCCCACCUCUAGGAGGGACCCCAUGCCUGUCUGGGUUGGGGGAGCGCGGUCUGCUCUGGAAAGUCUCCCCAGAUGCGACCCAGGGACGAAAGGAGCCCGCGAGGGUUCCUUCCUGGCUGUGACGAGUGUCUGGUGUCGCAGGCCAUCUGAUGCCUCAUCCCGGAGCGGACGACCAGCAAGCUGGGGGCAAAGCAGUGAGGCGCUAGGAAGACGCCAGGGGGAACAAGCCACAAAGCAGCCAAACGCACAUGUAAAGCACACGGCACCGACCCCGCUUGCCUUGGCCGAGUCACUUAAACUGACCGUGCCUCAUUUUCCCCUGGGUCGUCAUGGAGAUGAAGUGAAUGUGUGCACCAAGCUCUAGAUGUCCCUAGAUGCAUCCCUAGAACGGCACUUGGCACAGAGUGAGUGUUCAAUAAACGCUAUAGUCCCUGCUGUUA